rnacentral:rRNA from 1 species
UUAAGCGACUAAGCGUACACGGUGGAUGCCCUGGCAGUCAGAGGCGAUGAAGGACGUGCUAAUCUGCGAUAAGCGUCGGUAAGGUGAUAUGAACCGUUAUAACCGGCGAUUUCCGAAUGGGGAAACCCAGUGUGUUUCGACACACUAUCAUUAACUGAAUCCAUAGGUUAAUGAGGCGAACCGGGGGAACUGAAACAUCUAAGUACCCCGAGGAAAAGAAAUCAACCGAGAUUCCCCCAGUAGCGGCGAGCGAACGGGGAGCAGCCCAGAGCCUGAAUCAGUGUGUGUGUUAGUGGAAGCGUCUGGAAAGGCGCGCGAUACAGGGUGACAGCCCCGUACACAAAAAUGCACAUGCUGUGAGCUCGAUGAGUAGGGCGGGACACGUGGUAUCCUGUCUGAAUAUGGGGGGACCAUCCUCCAAGGCUAAAUACUCCUGACUGACCGAUAGUGAACCAGUACCGUGAGGGAAAGGCGAAAAGAACCCCGGCGAGGGGAGUGAAAAAGAACCUGAAACCGUGUACGUACAAGCAGUGGGAGCACGCUUAGGCGUGUGACUGCGUACCUUUUGUAUAAUGGGUCAGCGACUUAUAUUCUGUAGCAAGGUUAACCGAAUAGGGGAGCCGAAGGGAAACCGAGUCUUAACUGGGCGUUAAGUUGCAGGGUAUAGACCCGAAACCCGGUGAUCUAGCCAUGGGCAGGUUGAAGGUUGGGUAACACUAACUGGAGGACCGAACCGACUAAUGUUGAAAAAUUAGCGGAUGACUUGUGGCUGGGGGUGAAAGGCCAAUCAAACCGGGAGAUAGCUGGUUCUCCCCGAAAGCUAUUUAGGUAGCGCCUCGUGAAUUCAUCUCCGGGGGUAGAGCACUGUUUCGGCAAGGGGGUCAUCCCGACUUACCAACCCGAUGCAAACUGCGAAUACCGGAGAAUGUUAUCACGGGAGACACACGGCGGGUGCUAACGUCCGUCGUGAAGAGGGAAACAACCCAGACCGCCAGCUAAGGUCCCAAAGUCAUGGUUAAGUGGGAAACGAUGUGGGAAGGCCCAGACAGCCAGGAUGUUGGCUUAGAAGCAGCCAUCAUUUAAAGAAAGCGUAAUAGCUCACUGGUCGAGUCGGCCUGCGCGGAAGAUGUAACGGGGCUAAACCAUGCACCGAAGCUGCGGCAGCGACGCUUAUGCGUUGUUGGGUAGGGGAGCGUUCUGUAAGCCUGNGCUGGAGGUAUCAGAAGUGCGAAUGCUGACAUAAGUAACGAUAAAGCGGGUGAAAAGCCCGCUCGCCGGAAGACCAAGGGUUCCUGUCCAACGUUAAUCGGGGCAGGGUGAGUCGACCCCUAAGGCGAGGCCGAAAGGCGUAGUCGAUGGGAAACAGGUUAAUAUUCCUGUACUUGGUGUUACUGCGAAGGGGGGACGGAGAAGGCUAUGUUGGCCGGGCGACGGUUGUCCCGGUUUAAGCGUGUAGGCUGGUUUUCCAGGCAAAUCCGGAAAAUCAAGGCUGAGGCGUGAUGACGAGGCACUACGGUGCUGAAGCAACAAAUGCCCUGCUUCCAGGAAAAGCCUCUAAGCAUCAGGUAACAUCAAAUCGUACCCCAAACCGACACAGGUGGUCAGGUAGAGAAUACCAAGGCGCUUGAGAGAACUCGGGUGAAGGAACUAGGCAAAAUGGUGCCGUAACUUCGGGAGAAGGCACGCUGAUAUGUAGGUGAAGUCCCUCGCGGAUGGAGCUGAAAUCAGUCGAAGAUACCAGCUGGCUGCAACUGUUUAUUAAAAACACAGCACUGUGCAAACACGAAAGUGGACGUAUACGGUGUGACGCCUGCCCGGUGCCGGAAGGUUAAUUGAUGGGGUUAGCGCAAGCGAAGCUCUUGAUCGAAGCCCCGGUAAACGGCGGCCGUAACUAUAACGGUCCUAAGGUAGCGAAAUUCCUUGUCGGGUAAGUUCCGACCUGCACGAAUGGCGUAAUGAUGGCCAGGCUGUCUCCACCCGAGACUCAGUGAAAUUGAACUCGCUGUGAAGAUGCAGUGUACCCGCGGCAAGACGGAAAGACCCCGUGAACCUUUACUAUAGCUUGACACUGAACAUUGAGCCUUGAUGUGUAGGAUAGGUGGGAGGCUUUGAAGUGUGGACGCCAGUCUGCAUGGAGCCGACCUUGAAAUACCACCCUUUAAUGUUUGAUGUUCUAACGUNAUCCGGGUUGCGGACAGUGUCUGGUGGGUAGUUUGACUGGGGCGGUCUCCUCCUAAAGAGUAACGGAGGAGCACGAAGGUUGGCUAAUCCUGGUCGGACAUCAGGAGGUUAGUGCAAUGGCAUAAGCCAGCUUGACUGCGAGCGUGACGGCGCGAGCAGGUGCGAAAGCAGGUCAUAGUGAUCCGGUGGUUCUGAAUGGAAGGGCCAUCGCUCAACGGAUAAAAGGUACUCCGGGGAUAACAGGCUGAUACCGCCCAAGAGUUCAUAUCGACGGCGGUGUUUGGCACCUCGAUGUCGGCUCAUCACAUCCUGGGGCUGAAGUAGGUCCCAAGGGUAUGGCUGUUCGCCAUUUAAAGUGGUACGCGAGCUGGGUUUAGAACGUCGUGAGACAGUUCGGUCCCUAUCUGCCGUGGGCGCUGGAGAACUGAGGGGGGCUGCUCCUAGUACGAGAGGACCGGAGUGGACGCAUCACUGGUGUUCGGGUUGUCAUGCCAAUGGCACUGCCCGGUAGCUAAAUGCGGAAGAGAUAAGUGCUGAAAGCAUCUAAGCACGAAACUUGCCCCGAGAUGAGUUCUCCCUGACNNNNNNNNNNNNNNGUCCUGAAGGAACGUUGAAGACGACGACGUUGAUAGGCCGGGUGUGUAAGCGCAGCGAUGCGUUGAGCUAACCGGUACUAAUGAACCGUGAGGCUUAACCUU